CACUAAUAAUCUAUCUUUAAUUUGUCUUCUAUUGCCCUAUGAGACACCCAAGGAAAAUGUAUGCAUAGAUUUGGAGUCCUAGUUAAUAAACAUUAUCAGGCUGAGAUCAAAACACCUUUGGAAGACCUACAUGAGCUAUACAGGAUCAGAUGAAGGGCUCUAUGUCAUUGCUAAAGAAAAGACUUUGGAAAAUACUGCAGUAAUGGAAGAGACUAUAGACAUUUGCCAGGACAUUUCCCUAUUCUAGAGAAACAUAUAUUGUUUCUAAAGAUAUCCUGAAUCUUCUAAGGAUUAUGUACUUUCCCAAAUAUGUAUUUCAUGCUCAAUAAAUCUGGGCUGAAUAAAUAUUAUUUUCUCUGUGA